rnacentral:tRNA from 1 species
GCAUUGGUGGUUCGGUGAUAGAAUUCCUGCCUUCCAUGCAGAGACUCAGGUUCAAUUCCCCACCAAUGCA